GCUGGGCUGCUGAGCGACCGCAAUCGUAACUGCUUUAGGGGAGAUUUGGAAUGAUCUUCCUGAGCACCGCAACCUCGGUUGCAGUUGGUCAGGGUAAAAAUACAGCGAGGAGCAUUUCCAUGCCUGUGGCACUUCCACUUGAGUGGCAGCUUCCACACAGAAGAGUUGUCUGUUGUAUUGUAAAAACAGGUUCCACACAGCUCCCUUUGCAUAAAGCUGUAGUAGCAUCUGCAUCCUCCCUCCCCUGGCUGGAAACAGAAGACAGCCUGACAAAGCCAGGUUGUCAUCUUGUGUGCACCUGUACAAAGAGCACAGUGGCAGGCCUUCUCUUGGAGAAGAAUCAGAAAAGAUCCUGCAUCCGGAGGGGGAAAGGAGGAAAAGGAGCUAGGUUAGAGUAAGCAGGAGUACUGAAACUCAGGUGAAAGACCCUGGUCUGGUCUCUCUGGCAAAGAAAGUACAGUGCAGAGUGGUCUUCAGUGCUCUUCAGCUUGGGGAAGGGGUGGGGAUGGAAACAUCUGAGAGGGUGUUGAAAGGCCUGUGGCCUUUUGUCUAGCAAGUAGUAGCCUUCUGCUUCUGUCUGCAGGAAUUGAUAUCAGCUGAUGAAAACAGGCCUUGGAUAGUGAUGUGGAGGAUUUGCAACCCUGGGACACACACAGAUGACAAAUGAAGCUCUAGAUCUAGAAAACUUCAUUGUAAUGGAGCCAGAGCUUUGAAGCUGCUCUCCGGUUUCAAUGUGCUAAAGUGAAUCCAUCUUGAAUGGCAGGCACUGA